rnacentral:lncRNA from 1 species
CAAAAUUUCUCUUAAUAACAGAUUGAUGAAUUGGAAUUCAAACACGACGACCAAAUCGCGAACAGUGAACACGAACCGAACCACAAACGAAAUCCGAACGCAACCUCAAACAAACUCGGCUCAAUCAAACGAACUCCAUUCCAAGCAAAAAUUCAGGAAAAAGAAACAGAAGUCUUUUGUUUUUUUUUCUGAUUCUUUUAAACACGGAAAAAAUAAAGCUUGAGUCAUGAAUCAAUUUCAGAUUAUUUCGUUCUUCAUUUUUUUUGUUUAAAAUCUGUCCCGUUUCUUCUCAUCCAUGGUUGAUGGCUGCUGGUCGUUUGAGGCUGGUUGACAACCGAGUUUUCUGGCGAGUUUUUGACGCGGAUAGGGGCUAGUUUGGUUGUCGUUUGGUGUGGGAGACGGCGGAUAUGGGAGCUGGAUUUAUGGUCGUUGGCUGGAGGGUGAGGGACGGCGGAGAUGGAGAAUCCCGGCGGCGUCUGGUUGGUUUGACGACGGGUCUUUGGGCGUUAGGGCUGGGCGGCGGCUGGUUAACUAGGUUAGUCUCUAGGGUUGUGUUUUGUUUCCACCAUAUUUGGGAAAUAGAGGGGAGUCAAAUGAGGUUCUGCUGGGGCUUGUGCGAUGGAGAUGAGGGAAGGAGCGACGGCGGAUUUUGGGUGGUCUCCUAGGGUUCAGCCUUGUGAGAGUUAUCAAGGAAGAAGAAGGCUUGUCUAGGGUUUGUGUUGUUGUCUUGUUUUUAUGUUGAAGAAGAUAG